rnacentral:rRNA from 1 species
UAGGGAAUAUUGCGCAAUGGACGAAAGUCUGACGCAGCGACGCCGCGUGAGGGAUGGAGGCCUUCGGGUCGUAAACCUCUGUCGGGAGGGAAGAAAGCGCGCGGCGCUAAUCAGCCGCGCGUUGACGGUACCUCCAAAGGAAGCGCCGGCCAACUCCGUGCCAGCAGCCGCGGUAAUACGGAGGGCGCAAGCGUUAAUCGGAAUCACUGGGCGUAAAGCGCGCGUAGGCUGUUGUGUAAGUCAGGGGUGAAAGCCCGCGGCUCAACCGCGGAAUUGCCUUUGAAACUGCGCAACUUGAAUCCAGGAGAGGAUGGCGGAAUUCCAGGUGUAGGAGUGAAAUCCGUAGAUAUCUGGAGGAACACCAGCGGCGAAGGCGGCCAUCUGGCCUGGUAUUGACGCUGAGGCGCGAAAGCGUGGGGAGCAAACAGG